rfam:Felis catus isolate Cinnamon breed Abyssinian chromosome C2, whole genome shotgun sequence.
GCCUGGGUGGCUCAGUUGGUUAAGCGUCCGACUUCAGCUCAGGUCGUGAUCUCGCCGUCCGUGGGUUUAAGCCCCACGUCAGGCC